ensembl:lncRNA
UGCUUGGAUAAAAUAAUUUACCCUUAUAGUACCACAAAUACAGAAUGUUGUAUCUUAUUUAAUUUUUUUUAGAAAACGAAUACACAUCAAAAUCACUUGUGUUUAGGCACAUAUUGAUAAACUGUCUCAGUGUGGGAUUACUGAUCUAGAAUCAGAUCUGCCUGCCAAUGUACUUCUAUUUGUUACGAUCUAAAAAAGAAAAAGUCAAAACGUUUCGUUGAUCAGCACUCCUACGGUGCCUGAUUACGAGCCUGGAAGUGCGGAUAAAAAAAAACAACAAGCCCACUGAUAUCCUCAAUAUACCCAGGCUUAAACAGAAUAUAUCUAAACCAUCCAGUGACAUAUGCUGUAAUAUGCUGCCACAAGCACCACAUUACCUCACUCAUUAUAACAAUUAAACUAUGAAAGUCUUUCGCAAGACAGUAGCUGAUAUGUUUUGAGUGUAUAAAAGGGGAUGAUGACAAAUGUCUGUGCUUUGUAGGUGGUUGUAACUAAUUUCAACCCAAUAUUUGCAGUUAUUGAAGUAUUUUCCCAGCACAAUCAAAAUUAGGAUUCUUGAGAACCAUUCCUGUGCUCAACCAUUCAGCCUGUACUAUGGUUUUACAGUGCUGCCAAAGUAUCCUUCAAGGCUUCCUCACAAACCUAUUGCAGUUAAAGAACAUUUUAAUUAAAAACAAGAAAUAUUUCCAUGAACAGCAUGUGACGUGAAAUAAAACAGUUAAAGGGGAAUAACAGCAAAUAUUAGCUUUCACUCAGGGCAUGUACGGCCAAGCUAGAAAAGCUUACGGGGAAGGGGAUUACCACCCAAGAUUUCAGUCUUUCGGGAAGAGCAACUGAUUAAGAUGCCCUUCCACCUCAUUCACCUCAUGAACGCAGGUUCAUAACCACAAUCUUUUCUGACACCUCUGCAAAGACAUAUAAAUGGCAAUAUAAAUUUGCAUAGCAGCCAUUGGGUAUUUCAUAUUCAUUUUGUUUUAUGAUUUGAUAACAUCCUGUUCUGUUAAAGGAGUCUGGCUACCCUGAAGCAGAGUUUGGUAAAUAUGAAUGUGUUUUUGGCGGCGGUUUCACAAUGUAAACUUAAACCUGCUAGGGGGUGUUGCAAUUCCACUCCACAGUACAGCGGAGUUUAAACGUGCCUUGCAGGGGAGGGGGAGCUGGAGCAAGAGCAACGCAUUUGUCAGCCCAGCAAUGACUUUGAGAAUCAUCAAACUUGACACAUUUUUAAUAAUCGCCAUUAUUCCCCUUUACCUUAUAUACCGUUUUUAAAUUGGGCUUCCCUAAUAUAUCCUUCUCUGCUCUGGUGUAGGGAGGUGACAUGAUGUCCUUUUUGAAUGAGUCACUGCAUUAGAUUGUUCAAAGAACUCGUUGAAUGUUAUCGAUUGACACAGCUUUGUAAAACCAAAACAUAACCAAAACACAGCCUGCCUGUACUCAACACUAGAAGUAAGAAUUGUUUGGGUGAAUGCUGUAGUUCAAGACCUUGGGAAUAAAAACUGCACCUGGAAGCAGCAUUCCAGUAUCUUAGGCAUGCCAACUGAGUAACUGUUACAAACUGGAUUCAUUGUAGAAGACAAACAUUAAAAAAAACAGUAGGGUCACCAGCACACCUACUUAUUGGCGGCAUCGUUUGCUGUGGCAGAGCUUCACUAAAAUAACCGCCACAAGGCGAAACACUAAACCUGCAAGCAUACUACAAUGUGUAUUUUGCUGCUAAGUAAAGAAUCAGGGAACCACUAAGUGCAGAGAAGGGAAUGCAAAAGAAAAACAUAGCGUAGGCUUCUAUAAUAUAAAUUAAAUUGCUUACUUACUAGCUACUUAGUGCAGAAUUCGGAUCUCCCCUAUAACAAAGUCACCGUAAUUAACUGGUUAUUAUGAAGUAAUGAUAAAUCCCUUGAUAACCAAGUGCAAGGAAAGAGAAAAGGACAGAGUGUCUGACAUUUUGUUUAAUGUAGGCUAAAACAAAACUUACUACAAAAAUUACUACAGUAAUAGCAUAUAACCACAACAUUUAGCAGGUAGACCAACUGUGCUUCAUAGGCCUACAGUGGCUUUAAACAUGAAUAGUUUUGUGACCUGAGUGGACAUGAUCGUAUUUUUAUUUUUUCACUGGUAUUAUCAUUUUCAAAAGCCCUUCCAGUUUAAAUAGGAAUACUGAAAUGCCCGACAAUAUCUUGAAAUCUUCCAGGAAACCCAGAUCUUUCCUUGUCCAAACUCAAGACGGAAAACCCUGUGCCAAAUAAUGUCUCUAUGGGCAGAAAACCAGUUUAACUGCUGCCCCUGAAGCAGUUUAAAACAGAAAAAAAAACACCUUUAGGCUAAAAUUUCUGCUAAAUGACAUGCAUUUUUUUAUCAGUUGCCUACACUGCAUCUGUAAAACAUGCAGUUUUGGUGAUCAAGUUGGUGAUACAAUCACAUUUUCGGUCUCCCCUUUAUUCUUAAAGUGGUAAUUUACACUUUUUUGGAUUCUUGAAAAUCGGGACCAAAAUAAAUUCUACCUAAAAUUAUAAUAUAAAAAAUAUAUAAACACAUUAUAUAUACACACAUCCUUUAGUGCUUUUGAUUCCUUCAUAAAAUGCAAUUAACUGGAGUAACGUCACCUCCGUCAGCCACUCUAAAAGUCGCUCUAUUUUACAUUUAUUGUCCAAAAAUUAUUUAAAGGCCCUCAUUAAAUUCAAUAAUCUGAAAAGAAAUAUCCAAAUGUAUUGUUUGUUGUACAGCAGUACAUAACAUGUUUUUUUUUUUGUGUGUGCAUUUUGACAUGUUUUUCUAGAUGCAGAAGAACAAAAAAUAAAACAUUAAUUUAUUAGGCAAAUACUAUCCCUUAGGUCUUGCACAGCAAAUUCGUCAAUAGUUUGAGCAUGUUGCAAAAAACGGAUAAAUAUUUGUUCAUAAGAGAAAAUAUGCAAAUUAUUUUGGAUUUUAGACAAAUCUGUU